ensembl:snRNA U6 U6 spliceosomal RNA
GUGCUUGCUUCAGCAGCACAUAAUUUAAAAUUGAAGCAACACAGAGAUUAGCAUGGCCCCUGUGCAAGGGUGACAUGCAAAUUCAUGAAGCAUCCAUAUGUACUUUUUU